CCUAAACCGUCAUCCUUAUUCAUAUAUACCGUUUAGUGCUGGGCCACGCAAUUGUAUCGGUCAACGAUACGCUAUGUUGGAAAUGAAGGCGAUGAUAGCACCUCUAAUUCAUAAUUUCUACGUGGAGCCCGUUGAUUACUUAAAGAAUCUUCGAAUGCAAACUGAUAUGAUACUUCGUCCAACUCAUCCACUUCGUGUAAGAUUUGUCCCCGUUUGCAAAACGCAAACAUUUGAAACAAAUACUGAAAUACAAUAAAUGUUGUAAAAGCAAACAUCGCAAAAAUAAAAUAUAUAUUGUAUUAUAUACAAUCAAAUAUAAGAAUACGUAUUAUAUACAAUCUAUAACAAAUAUAAAAUUCAUUUCAAUCAUUAAAAUGCAUGCAACUACUUAAAAUGAAUACUAAAGAAGUAUAAAACGAUAAAUUGUAAAAAUUAUGGAUAAAAUUGUUAUGUGUAUAUUAUUUUGUGUAUUAAAUAUCGUACGAUAUACAGCAUA